CUUUUAAUUUAGUAUGUUCAGUGUAGUGCUGAGUCUCUGGUUUCCAUUACAGCGACUGUAGUUCUUCAUUGCUGGUAGAUGAUGUCUUGGGUGCCUUCUUGCUAUGUCCUCAUCCCAAAAAGCCCAACCGUGGGUCUCUUAUAGUCCGCUUUCCCUCAGGACUGGUAACUCAUGCUAUUAAGAAUUCCAAGGGGAAGUUCCAGCUUGAGAAAUGCCACAUUGACUUUGAAAGCCUUGCUGCUUUGAUUGAGCACUACACAGAGUUCAAUGAGGAGCUGGAAUGUUCUCUGAGCUCUGCCCGUGUCAACCACUGCUACGAUUGGGAAGAGAUUGUGAAUAAGAGUUCACGGUCGCUGCAGGACAACAAGAAAGGCACUUUCAAAAACCAAAGUUGGGUUUGAAUCCUGUCUUUCAUGCACUUUUUUUUUUUUUUUAAAUACAAUAGUUUUUAAAAAACAUUUUAUACUAUAUAUUUUAAACUUUACAGAGCUGCUGACAUUAGUAAACCUUCCUAACAAGGAUCUUAAGUCACUGGCACACUUUUUUGAUAUUUUAAAAGGACACUUCUGUUUUGCCUGUUGGCAAUAACCUCAACCCACCUAAAGCACUCACAUUGUUGGUGUUUUGGUUUGAAUUUCUUUUCUAGGGAAACGAGCACUUACGUUUUUCAUGUAAAUGUCAGAUGUAAAUGUAUACUCCACAGCUUUUGCAAAGGUGCAGACUAUAUACGUUUUAUGUCCCAUCUAUUUUGUCUUUUAAAUUGUGUUAUGUGUGUUUAUAUUGAUUUUGGACAUUUUUUUCCCCACUCACUUUAUAAGAGCUUUUUAGCGAUAACCUGAACGUGUCCAGUGAAUGGAUUUUCUUUGCUCCCUUAAUGUUUUGGAACUCUUGCACUUUUCACCUCAUAAAUGCACACAUUUCUGUCAUUAGCUUUGCACCAGUGUAAAUUAAGUGUCUUGCCUCAUUGCAUAAACUGAUUAUACAGUCAUUUUGUCUCCUUUUUUGUGUCUUUACUUUAAUGUGUAUUACUUU
rnacentral:lncRNA from 1 species